UUAUGGGCAAAUGGUGGAUGCCUUGGGACCAAACGCGAUGAAGGACGUGGUCAGCUGCGAUAAGCUUCGGGGAGGUGCUAACAACCUUUGAUCCGGAGAUUUCCGAAUGGGGAAACCCAAUCCUGCUUAAAACAGGAUUAUCAUUUAUGAAGCGAACCCGCUGAAGUGAAACAUCUCAGUAGGCGGAGGAAAAGAGAACAAUAGUAAUUCCCUCAGUAGCGGCGAGCGAAAGGGGAGAAGCCCAAACCUAUUUAUGUUUACAUAGAUAGGGGUUGUAGGGGAACAGCGUCUAUUUAGUUAGAGGAAGUUAGACGUAACGAGUUCAUUAGUUGAAUGCUCUGGAAAGUGCAAUCAUAGAGGGUGAAAGUCCCGUAAACGAAAAUGAAUUCGUGCUUCUUGCUGUUUUACCUGAGUACCAUCGAAUCAAGACAAGUCGGUGGGAAUCUGGCGGGACUACCCGCUAAGGCUAAAUACAAUUUGGUCACCGAUAGUGAACCAGUACCGUAAGGGAAAGGUGAAAAGUAGCCCGGGAGGGCGGUGAAAUAGUACCUGAAACCAUUAUGCCUACAAGGAGUCAGAGCUGAACUUUAUGUUCGGUGAUGGCGUGCUUUUUGCAGAACGAGCCAACGAGUUUUCUUUACCAAUGAGUCUAAGCGCUUUUGGCGUGGAGGCAUAGGGAAACCGAGUCUUAAAAGGGCGAAUUUAAUUGGUGGAGAAAGACCCGAAGCCAGACGAGCUUGCCAUGGCCAGGAUGAAGCUUUUAGAAAUAAAAGUGGAGGUCCGAACCCGUAGAUCGUUCAACGUCUUGGGAUGAGCUGUGGUAAGGAGUGAAAAGCUAAUCGAGUUUGGUAAUAGCUGGUUCUUCCCGAAAUAGUUCUAGGACUAGCCUCUCCGGCCACGUUCUUGGAGGUAGAGCACUGGAAGGAAUACUGCGGCGAAAGCUAGGUAUUUCUACCAAACUCCGAAUGCCAAGAACUUUGCGGAGGGAGUCAGACUACGGAAGCGAAGUUCCGUAGUCGCGAGGGGAACAACCCAGAUCGUCAUCUAAGGUCCCUAAAUUUAUACUAAGUGUUAGUAAGGAGGUGAAAUUUCUCAGAUAGCUAGGAGGUUAGCUUAGAAGCAGCUACCCUUUAAAAAGUGCGUAACAGCUUACUAGCUAAGAGAUUUUGCGCCGAAGAUUUCCGGGGCUCAAGUAUAGUACCGAAGAUACGACUUAGCAUCUUAUGAUGCUAGGGGUAGGGAAGCGUUCCUAUUGCAUUGAAGCAGGACUGUAAGGUCUUGUGGAGUGAUAGGGAGUGAGAAUGUUGGCAUGAGUAACCACAAUUGAGGUGAGAAUCCUCAACACCGUAAAACCAAGGUUUCCUCAGCUACGAAGUUCGUCUGAGGGUUAGGCGGUCCUUAGGAAAAGCCGAAGGGUUUAUCUGAUGGACAGAAGGUUAAUAUUCCUUCCCUUUGGUAUCAUUCCGUAGGGGGACACAAUCUUGUACUCUAGGCAGAUUAUCGGAUUUCUGUUGACCAUCUGAGGAGCAAUCCAAUGGAUGGGCACAAGAUUUGCUUUCGAGCAGGUCAAGCUAGACGAGCAGGUUGUCAAGAAAAGCCCGCAGGGUUAAUGAUAUCAAAACCGUACCGUAAACCGACACAGGUGGUUAGGCGUAAAUAUGCCAAGGUGAACAAGUGAAAGAUCCUGAAGGAACUCGGCAAAAAAGUAAUCGUAACUUAGGAAUAAGAUUUGCCUUCUAUUGCUGCUUGCAGUGGGUAGAAGGCCGCAGUUAAUGUCUCUCUGGCGACUGUUUAUCAAAAACACAGGUCCCUGCUUAAUUCGUAAGAGGAAGUAUAGGGGCUGAGGCCUGACCAGUGCCGGAACGUUAAAAGUGGCGGUUGCUUCGCUUUCGAUUCAUAAUGAUUCGGAGCUUAGUCAGUUUUUUUCAGUAGUUUAAAUGUUUUAUUUAGUUAGUAAUAAUACCUAUUUUUUAAAGUAAAUCAAAAUUCAAUCGAGAUAUCGACAAAUAUAUAUAGGUUAAUUUGUUUAUUCUAGGUAAAAAAUUGCGAAGUUUCCGUAUCGUUAUGCAUUUUAUUGUGAAUCGAGAGCGGAGCAGCUGACUGCUCCAAGCUUCCGGUGAACGUCCGCGGUAACUCUGACCGUGUUAAAGUAGCGUAAUCCCUUGUCGGGUAAGUUCCGACCCGCAUGAAAGGCUUAACGACCGGAGAACUGUCUCCAGGAUCUGCUUGGUGAAAUCGCAAUAGGGGUGAGAAUGCCCCUUACCUGUGGCUAGACAGGAAGACCCCGGGAGCUUUACUAUACCCUGGCAUUGAGUUUUGGUAUUAGAUGCGUAGCAUAGGUGGGAGACUUUGAAGUCAUUCUUUCGGGAAUGAUGGAGUCGCCAGUGAAAUACCACUCUUUUAAUAUUAAAAUUCUAAUUUUAUUAUCUGCGUAGGAUAACGAAAGACAGUGCUUGGUUGGUAGUUUAAGUGGGGCGCUUUUCUCCUAAAAGGUAACGGAGAAGUUUAAAGGUUGGCUAGUUCCGGAUGGAAAUCGGAAUGGUCCUGUAAAGGGAUAAGCCAGCUUAACUGCAAGACGGAUAUGUCGCGCAGGUGGGAAACCAGAACUUAGUGAACCGACCAUGGUUCGUAGGACCGUGGGAGAUCAUCAACUAAAAGCUACCCCGGGGAUAACAGGCUGGUAGUGCCCAAGAGUCCACAUCAACGGCACUGUUCGGCACCUCGAUGUCGGCUCAUCACAUCCUGGGGCUGAAGAAGGUCCCAAGGGUUUGGCUGUUCGCCAAUUAAAGUGGUUCGCGAGCUGGGUUCAGACCGUCGUAAGACAGGUUGGUCCAUAUCUACCACAGGCGUCGAGUCUUGAGGAGAGUUGCCCUUUGUACGAGAGGAUCAGGGUGAACCAAUCUCUGGUGUAUCAGUUGUCACGCCAGUGGCAUCGCUGAGUAGCUAUAGUUGGGAAGGGAUAAGAACUGAAAGCAUCUAAGUUCGAAGCCUACUCCAAGAUUAGGACUCUUAUCCAGGUUGAAGACUACGACCUUGAUAGGGUGCAGGUGGAAGUUCUGUGAGGAAUUGAGCCGAGCACUACUAAUUGGAUAUUAUACUUGAUUU
rnacentral:rRNA from 1 species